GAAAAAACACAGAGAGGGAAUGAGUGUGUAUAUGUAAAAGGAAACAUGAGAGGGAUAUUUUAACUUAUACAUUCCAGCUCCUCACUCUGAACUGGAUCCAAUGCCUAUAAAAGUCAGUGGAAAAACUCCUACUGACUUCAUGAGAACUGGAUCAGGUUCCAUAUGAGUUGCACCUACUUCGGCUCCCUGCCAUUGGUGGAGGUAGCCCUAAAAGAGAGGUUCAGUGAAGGGAGUUCAAUUUACAUGACCUUCCAGUUCACUCUCCAUUUACAGCUGCUCUUUUAGUCAAGAAAAAACAUCCCAGCUUUGCAAAAGAGGAAGGUCAUAGAAUCACAGAAUAUCUCAAGUUGUAAGGCACCCAUAAGGAUCAUCGGGUCCAACUGCUGCUAAAAGAACUAUGUAAAAGUAAACCAUAUGUCUAUGAGCAUCAUCCACAUGCUUCUUGAACUCUGACAGGCUUGGUGCCAUGACCACUUCCCUGGGGAGCUUGUUCCAGUGACUGACCACCUUCUUGGUGAAGAAAGUGUUGGGAGUGCAACACCACACUUGUGCCACGGCAGUUGUGGGAGAUGGCUGUACCUUCUAUCAAGAGGCUGAUUUGGACAUCAGCAUACAGACCAUUAAAGCAGAUUCUUCGGAAAGAAACAAAAUGGAGGAACUGAUGCCCAGCAGUGCUCAUUCACAAGGAGUGUAUGCCUUCUUCUUCAGCCUGCCUGCAAAACAGCUCAGGCCUGCAGUACUGCUGUGGCCAGGAGUGAGAAAAGCAAGAACAUGGUACUCAUGGUCUGAGGAUCAGUGGAAACCUGAAGAAGCUACAAUAGUAGCUAAAUAAGGUUCCAGUCUAGUUUGAGAAGAGUUUGGCCCCUCUGUGGCACUGUUAUGAGAAGCAUGGGUGGCUGCAUUUCAUUUCAAGGUUUCAGAUGUUAUUUUAGUUCAACUCUGCAGGAGACAAUUUAGCAUAUGUAUUCUCACUCUUGCUUUGUAUGUCCCAUUACGUAGAAGAGGCAGAAAAACAAAAAUGGAGAGGGAAUAUUCUUCAGUGGUGUUUUUAGAACAAGAAACUAAAUUGACAACUUUGAAUUGUCCCUGACAAGAAUUCCUCCAUCUCCCGUUAUUUGUACAGCAAGCUGACAUCUUAGUGGCAGCUGUGACUAGUCAAUAGGAAUAUCUUCCCCUCUCCAUCCUCUCAUUGCAACUCAGAAUGUCAUUUUUGUUUCAAGUUUUAUGCAAUGUUCUCCAAUUGUGUUUCUUCCUUUGUUCUUUUAUACCUACUGAGAAACUCUAAGAGCUCCUCUCCCUGUAUUUCAUUUUUUCUGAUUUAUUCACUUUCUCAUUUUCAUCUCUGCAGCUUUUCCAGAAUCUAGCAAGUUUUGAGAUCACAUAAUGGAAAAAUUCUGAAACAAAGGAAUAAACAAAAAACAGUCUGAAAACAUUAGCUGUUUUCACUUCACUGUGAAGUGACAUGUCCCUUAUCAACACCUCAGCCAGGAAACAUUGUACUGAAGGAAUAUGAAAGAGGGUAGGGAUAGACAAUCAGAGAAGGUCCACUUAUCUGAGCAUUCAGCCCCUCUGCCCCACUGCACUAAAUGAAACCUUUGAUACGUUUUUGGGUUUGAUCCCCAACAAAAUGGAACCAAUGGUGAAACGGAAGGCUUAUGAGUGUGGUGGUAGUCUAUUUAAUUGUGGAAAUGUCCUUCCAUGCUUGGUUUGAUCGGGAGAGAGGCUGUGGAAGAGGAGGUGAACAAAAGAUGGGAGGGGCCCAGUGACCUAUGGAGAUUAAGCAAUAGCCAGAGGGCACUUGGAAAGGCAGAUGAAGGGUUGUGGUGCUGAGGCUCAGAGGGAGGCACCAUGAGGAGGCAGCUCAUCCAAGUCAAGUCAAACAUCACCUGGUCAAAGCUGUAGUCAAUGCCACUGAUCACAACCUUCAACCUCUUCUUCUGCAGGUGAAGGCAGGCAGGGGCUGGGCUGCAGUGCACAUACAGAUGGCCUCAGGGAUGGGCCACAUCUGCAGGGACACACAAGGCAGCCAGGUUUCUUAAAGUUGAACAGAACCAAUAGAAAACUUAAACCUUUUUUUUCUUUCCUCUUCUCCUGAGCUUUGGUUUCAUAGGGUUAGGCUGUAUUUUUGUAACCUUCCAAUCAAUCUUUAACUUACCCAUUUUUAAUGUCUGAGAUUUAAAAUACUGAUUUUCCAGCUAAAAUUGUAUUAUUAAUUUUCAUAAUACACUGAAAUUCAGAAACAAUUGACUCAGCAGAUAAAUUUGAGGUGUACCCACAAGCACCUUUCCAAGUCAUCAGGACUUAAGUGGGUGCUUACACUGCAGGACUCAUUUCACACAGCAGUGUCUCCAAGUCAUUACGUCUUCAUUGUAACACAUAUUAUAAAAUACAGGGGAAAUAAAAGACUAUCCCUAUGCAAAAAUGUGUUACCACUACUUAUACAGUGUGUACAGGAGGCCUGAAGCCAGCACUGCUUGUAAAACAGACAGCUGCAAAUGAGAUAAAGCCUGUUAGACCUAUUCACCAUGGCAUUUUAUUCUGUUUUGUUCUUUGCACAAAAUACCUUCCCUGCAGGUCACUGCACAACAGUUCAUCUCACAGUGAAUAUUCCUGCACAGUGGUUAUGGCCCAUAAUCCAGCUUGGAUCUGUAUCUCGCAGGAGGGAAUGUUUUUCAUUGCUUUCUGCACCGCUCUUCUGCUCUUGAUUGGAACAAGCUGCUGUCCCUGGGGUAAUCCUUGGGCCACUACCCAUCACUGUGAGUGAUGUCAACACAUUUUUGAAUGUGUGGCUAUUAGCACUCUUUCCAAACACAAGUUUCAAAAAGAACUCCUCACACUGUAAUUUGUUUGGUAGACAUUCCCUCUCCCUAGCCUCCCUUGCUAUUGGACAGACUGACUGAAUUUUUUUAUCAUUUAAACAAAUAAACUAUGUAAAUUGUUGCUUGCUGACCCUAAUUAAGGCUUACAGCUGCCUGGAAGACCAGACAGUGCACUCCGUUCUCCUUAGUCAACAGCAACAAGUAGAUGAAAAUUUGAAUGAAAGUCUAAUUUUCCACUUCAAGUAAAAAGUGGGUCUGGGUGGAGGGAGGCAGGAGAAACAUAUAUGCUACACCUCCUUGUGCUAGCACAAGUCCGAGGCACUGCUGGAGUUCAGGGGCUGCAAAUUUCACCUUGGGAAUUAAUGAAUUCAUUGAAUGAAGAAAGGAUAGUUUCGCCCACGCUGUGAGACAGUGGAGGAGACCAGAGACCAGUGUGUUGUGUGUGUUUAAAGUGACCCUUUGAGCGUCUUGUUGAUAUGCUGAACUUUUACUGGGGGAUAAGGCAGCAACCUCCUUCAUUUUGGAAAGUGGCCAUAAAGACAGAGUGAUGCCCUGUGGGUGCACACCCCAUGGCGUUACCCCUCUGCACACUGAGGUCCUCCGCUGAGACAGCUGAAAUGAGUGGAGAGAACACUGUACUCUGGUGAGCACCAUGCAGCUACAUUUCACGGGCUCUGACUGUGGUGGAGGAGCAGCUCCUGGAAUCUCUGAAGAGUCAGGGGGCAGGGGAGACUGAGAAAGGUGAUGGGAGAAAUAAUAAGCUAGGACUGCCCACCACUGAAUCUUCUUGGGGACUGCAUGACACCCCUGCUAUCUGCAGAAAUCCUGCAAGGGAGAACUCUUGCAUUAUUUGGCAUGAUUGGCCUGCUGAGGGUGGGGAGGCUUAAUCAAAAGAAAGCAACAUGCUUUGGAGUUGAAGAUGCUGUGUAAGUAUAAAGUCAACUCUCACACUCUUUACUACAUUCUCUUGUUCCAUUUAUGUGAACUAGGGAAUAAAUUCUCCCCUGUACUGUGACUUACAGCUCCAAGAAGAGCUGCAAGAGCCAGUUCAGACCAGUCCUGUCUCCAAGGUUGGCACAUACCCCAGAUUUUCACCUACUCAGUCCCAUACAUAUUAAUGCAUAGACAUCUUUAUUUGUGUAUAUGUACUCAAUUACAUACUUAAACAAAAUUCUGAAAACUUUGGCAGUAAACUCCAUUAUUCUGCAGUAGUUGAAUGACAUUCUGUCAUUCUUUAGAAAAUUCCAUUCAUGAUAGCAGUCAUAUAUGCAUUUUUAUAGCUCUUUAUGAACAAGAUUUUAAGAAUCACUUAUCUGGACAUCUGCUUGAUUGUACCUUGAUUGUACCUUGAUAUAAGGUACAUUUGGAAAUGUGAUCACAAGGUACCGAACAAUUCUCUAGUCAAGAGUGCAUACUGUGGAAUAAAUGAGUUAGGGUAUGCAGGCUGCAGCUUCAAGACAAUAGGGCUAAGGCCAAGACAUGAAACUACUUCAGAUAAAAACAGCAGCCAAAGUUCGUAGCAGAGACUAUAACAGCCCAAGUUCUGGCAUCUGUGCCUUUCACACUGUUCCAGUUUUGCCUGUCUGAGCUAGCCAGGUAAAAACUUGCCUCAGCUGAGUCUGUGCACACACCAAUCUUGACUUCUGGUGACAGUAGAGAGGAAGCCUCUGAAAUUAUUUGGAAUGUUUUGGAUGAAUUCUUUGCAAAUGAGGAAAAUAAGUCUUCAGCUGAAGGGUGGUUUGAUCUCUGACUAACUUACUGCUCUGCAUGUACAGCCAGACCACCACAAACAUCACCAUAUCUGACUGCCCUCAGCCAGCAAUGCAGGUCUCCCACAGGAGAGGUUGUGGUAUGCAGUUGGAAGAAAAAUGGAUAUCGUUAGGGAAAAGGACAAAAAAAAAUGAAAGAACCCAUAAAUUAGGCACAUGUUGCCUUUUGAAAUGGUUUGCAAGCUAAGGAAUUAUAAACUGCAAACAAUCCUGGAUAGAUUAAUUUAUGCUUGUUAGCUUUCUCAGAUGUGUAACUGACAGAGAACAACUGUCCAGGCCACUCCUAUGGAGGUUUCAGCAAAUUCCAGAGUCUGAGUGCAAAAUGAGAAACCAUGUAUCAUCUGUCAACAAAAACUCUGCUGCUUUGAGUAGUCUGACCAUGUAUCAAACAGUGGUGUUCGCUGAGAAUUUUUUUGCACAACAUAAUGGGGAGUUGGGUAAAGUCAGGUUAAAAAUGCUCACAUUAGUUUUAAUCAAGCUGAUAUAGGUAAAAUAACUCCCUGUAUAAGUUUUGGUGUUAACCAACAACCAGUUCCAUAUGGGAGCCCAUGGGGAGAUUAAUAGUCAUGUUGUCAACAGAUUGUCACUGUCAUGUUUAGUGAUGGUGGCUGAAAGAAAACUCAGCUAGGUCUGCCUGCCUAUGGUCACAGUGUUGUGUUGUUGUGCAGUCAUAUUCUUGCUGCCAUAGCACUCCUCCAAGCAUAAAUGGAGUGGUAUCCACCUGGCAAACCAGUGUGUAAGCCCUCGUGUUCUUCUGUGAGGAAAUGAUGAUGUGGAUGGUGGGAGUGGCCAUUCUUUUCACAACUAACAAUCAUUUAACUGUCUGUCCAUCUGUCUGUCUAUCUACUAUUUCACAUAAAAGGGUGGGAGAAUGUGGUGUAAGAUAAAGUAUGGUAGAGGGUUCUCAUAUUUUUAUACACUCUUGCAGCUUUCUAACUUGAGAUGUAAUUUCCUGCAAAACUAGUCAGAGUCAUUCAGAUGAUACUUUUCAUGCCAUCAUUAUAGUAGAUUUGUCCAAAGGCGCUAUUAUUUUGUCUCCAUCUGUAAAUAUAUCAUGAGGUAUUAGGAAUGGGUUAAAGUUAGCCUCGAAUGCGAUUGGCAAAAGUAAUAUUGUAAGAUAUUAUGCCUCAUUUUAUGGAACUUUUUCAAGAAACUGUCUAAGAAAGUAAGAAUUGUAUAUAGGCUUCAGCUGAGAUAGCACCUGGCUUUUCAGAGGAAAAUUAAUGUUUAAAAUGCAUUUUUGUUCCUGUGUAUUUUGGUUAACACUUAUUGUAAGUUAUCAUUGUUCAUUAAUUUCACAACUUGUACCAUGGUGCUUAGCAAGUUGUCUUCUUAGAGCUUCCAAUUCUAGAGACAGCAAAGAUACGAAAAUAAAACUUUUGCUAUGUGUUGUGCAUAGAGAAUUCUGCUUUAAAAGAGAGUGGGAGAUGUAUGGUUUUGCAAUUGCCCUUAUCUCUGUUAGAGGAAGAUUACAUACAUAUGUCACUGUGCCUGCUAUUUUUGCAGUUUUCAAGGUUGCUUUCCUUCUUCUACUGUAUUAAAGUACAUUUUUGCAAUGUAGGACUCUCAACAUUGUUUUCACUUUGCUCAGAGCUGCAUAAAAAUUAUUCUUUAACAUUUCAUAUAACUCAAAGUGACAUCUGAACUUUUGAAAAGAGACAUAAAGUUUUGUACUGAUAAAGCAAAGACUCAUUUCUAAAGAAAUUCCUAAGGACAUUUUGUUAUCUGGAAGUUUCUUUCUGAUAUUUGAUAUUCUGCUGGGUUAAGAACUGGCUGGAGGGCCGGGCCCGGAGAGUGCUGGUGAAUGGGGCUGCAUCUAGCUGGCAGCCAGUCACUAGUGGUGUCCCCCAGGGGUCGGUGUUGGGUCCAGUCCUGUUUAACAUCUUUAUUAAUGAUUUAGAUGAGGGGAUUGAGACCGUCAUCAGCAAAUUUGCUGAUGACACCAAGUUGGGAGGGAGUGUCGACCUGCUGGAAGGCAAGAGGGCUCUGCAGAGGGAUCUGGAUAGACUGGAAAAAUUGGCUGAUUCCAAUGGGAUGAAGUUCAAUAAGGCCAAAUGCCGGGUGCUGCACUUUGGUCACAACAACCCCCUGCAGCUACAGGCUGGGCGCAGAGUGGCUGGAGAGCAGUCAGACAGAAAGGGACCUGGGGGUACUAAUUGACAGGAAGCUCAACAUGAGCCAACAGUGUGCCCAGGUGGCCAAGAAGGCCAACGGUAUCCUGUCCUGUAUCAAAAAUAGCGUGGUCAGCAGGACAAGGGAAGUGAUCCUUCCCCUGUACUCUGCAUUGGUGAGGCCACACGUAUUGUGUUCAGUUCUGGGCCCCUCAGUUCAGGAAAGACAUUGAAGUGCUGGAGCGGAUCCAGAGAAGAGCAACACGACUGAUGAAGGGACUUGAGCACAAGACCUAUGGGGAGAGGCUGAGGGAGCUGGGGUUGUUUAGUCUAGAGAAGAGGAGGCUUAGAGGUGACCUCAUCACUCUCUAUAACUACCUGAAGGGAAGUCAGCCAGGUGGGGAUUGGUCUCUUAUCCUAGGCAGUCAGCAAUAGGACAAGGGGGCACGGGCUUAAACUCUGCCAGGGGAAAUUUAGGCUGGAUAUUAGAAAGAAAUUCUUUAUGGAGAGAGUGAUCAGGCGUUGGAAUGGCCUGCCCAGGGAGGUGGUGGACUCACCGUCCCUGGAGGUUUUUAAAUGGAGAUUGGACAAGGCACUUAGUGCUGUGAUCUAGUAAAUGGACUGAAGUUGGACCAAGGGUUGGACUUGAUGUACUCUGAGGUCUUUUCCAGCCCAGUCGAUUCUGUGAUUCCUUUUAGUCCCUUGCCAUCAAUUUAAUUGUUAGUAUGGGGUAUUUUUAAAUUUCCCUUUGUUUCUGUAAAUCUUAGCUAUAUUAAAUCUAGAAGAUUAGGGGAUUUUUAUAGCAUUCACAGAACUAUUUCUACAAGAAGAACUUACAAAGGAAGGUUUUGCACAGAUUUCCCUGUAACUUUUGUCAUGUUUGGAAAGGAGUUUAAGUUAGAAUGCUCCAUUAAUUUCACUGUUAAGAGUGUUUUGGAGAAAAGGGAGGAGAAACAAUAGUGUUCUCCAAGUUAUUGUAGGUACAAUACUAUGGUUUUGUUUUGUGUGGUUUUAAGUAAAGACUCAUAGCUUUAGGGGAUUGGUAUAACCUUCGGUUUCAAAUGAUGUUAGAGGAAUAGACUAAAAAAGUACGUGGAUUAGUGCAGGCAAUGAAGACAAUCUUGAAAUAGAUUGAGGGUCAGUAAAUUUUACAUCAAGUUUUUCCAGGACAACUUGUAUCCUUCCAGAAAAAUAUUUACUGAAAGGCUCAGUGUUGAAGCAUUACAAGGGAUACAUACCUCUGAUUUGAGGCAUAUAUUUUACCCUCACUGAUUUUAUGUGCAAAAAUUAUUACGAGUCCAUUAACUUUUGGAGGUCCUUCCAGUUCUAGAGUUUCAUCAACUUUUACUAAAAAAGGGUGACUUUGUAAACAAUUCAUUAUUUCUCUUGGAUAGUGCUCAAAUACUUCAUAUAGUCAUUUAAAAAUAGGGCUGGAAAGGACUUCUAUGUGUAAAGUAGUUCAACCCCUAUGCCAAAGUGAAAUAAUCUAUAACUGUGUCAUUUCAGAAAAAUCAUUGUUUAAUAUGUUUUUUAAGAUCUCAGGGGAUAGAGAUUGUGUACAUUACCUAGGAGAUGCAUUUUACUUGUUUUCUGAAAGAAAAUCCUCCUGUAUGCCUUCUCGUAACUCCUUUUAAUUUCUGUCUUCAGGCUGAAUAAUGCCAGCUUUUGAGUCUUUCCCUGUAGGUUCAAUUUUAUGGUUGUUUUUCAUUCCCAUUGCCCUCUCCUGCAUUUUUAACAAUUGGUAUAACUAUUGUUGAAACACAUACCAGUUAGGUAUGUGCUGGGUAAAACAGAGGGCAUGUUACUUCCCAUGCUUUGUGGGACAAAGUUGCAUUCAGAACUUUCUGUGUCUUUUUUCCUCAAAGAUGUGACAUUACUGGUUUGUGUUCAGCUUUGAAACCACUGAGCCAUGGUGUGUAGCUGAAGAACUGCUGCUGUGCCAUUUGCUCUCCAUCUUGCAUCUCAGAUUACCCCUGAAUGAGUAAAGAAUAUUGAACUCCUUUUCAUUAAGCUUAGAUCAUUCUCAGAACCUCUUCUGUGCUUUUUCUCAGGGUUGUUUAAAUUCCUCCCUGCUUCGUCACCUACAAUUUUUAUAAAAUACUUCAUAUUCUUCCACCCUAGCUGUUUCUGAAGACAUUGGACAAGACUGAGAAUAAAGUGCAUGCCUAAAGAAUGUUUUCUCAUCCUUCCUCUCAUUCUGGCAAUGAACUGUGCCUUAUGGCUUUCUAAAGUGUUUUAUCCAAGUACUUUUAAGCCCAUUUCGCAGUUCAUGUUCCUGUGCUGUGGAAUGUCAAAAAUGUGACAUGAAACUGUGUGAGAAGCCUUCUUCGGAUACAAGAUACUUCAUAACUAUUAUUUCUACUCAAUACAUUGAAGCUAUUAUUUUAUCAUAAAAAGAAAUAUGUUUACCUACAAUGA